rnacentral:rRNA from 1 species
CAGUAGCCGCGGGAAUACGAAGGGUGCAAGCGUUACUCGGAAUUACUGGGCGUAUAGCGUGCGUAGGUGGUGGUUUAAGUCCGUUGUGAAAGCCCUGGGCUCAACCUGGGAAUUGCAGUGGAUACUGGGUCACUAGAGUGUGGUAGAGGAUAGUGGAAUUUCCGGUGUAGCAGUGAAAUGCGUAGAGAUCGGAAGGAACAUCUGUGGCGAAGGCGACUAUCUGGGCCAACACUGACACUGAGGCACGAAAGCGUGGGGAGCAAACAGGAUUAGAUACCCCUGUAGUCCCUGUCUCUUAUAC